rnacentral:rRNA from 1 species
CCCGUAGUCCAGCGUAAACUAUGCGCGUAGUGUGCAUGUAACUACGAGUACCGGGUGCCGAAGUGAAAACGUGAAACGUGCCGCCUGGGAAGUACGUCGCAAGGCUGAAACUUAAAGGAAUGGCGGGGAGCACCACAACGGGUGGAGCCUGCGGUUUAAUUGGACUCAACGCCGGGCAGCUCACCGGAUAGGACAGCGGAAUGAUAGCCGGGCUGAAGACCUUGCUUGACCAGAUGAGAGGAGGUGCAUGGCCGUCGUCAGUUCGUACUGUGAAGCAUCCUGUUUAGUCAGGCAGCGGAGCGGAGACCCACGCCAACAGUUGCUAGCAUGUUCUCCGGAAUGAUUGGUCGCUUCGGUCCGCCUCUGCUAAAGAGGAGGAAGGAAUGGGCAACGGUAGGUCAGCAUGCCCCGAAUUAUCCGGGCUACACGCGGGCUACAAUGGUCAGGACAAUGGGAAACGGCACUGAAAAGUGUAGUCAAUCUCCUAAACCUGUCCCAAGUUCGGAUUGUGGGCUGCAACUCGCCCACAUGAAGCUGGAAU